AGCGAACGCUGGCGGCAGGCUUAACACAUGCAAGUCGAGCGGGCGUAGCAAUACGUCAGCGGCAGACGGGUGAGUAACGCGUGGGAACAUACCUUUUGGUUCGGAACAACACAGGGAAACUUGUGCUAAUACCGGAUAAGCCCUUACGGGGAAAGAUUUAUCGCCGAAAGAUUGGCCCGCGUCUGAUUAGCUAGUUGGUGAGGUAACGGCUCACCAAGGCGACGAUCAGUAGCUGGCUGAGAGGAUGAUCAGCCACAUUGGGACUGAGACACGGCCCAAACUCCUACGGGAGGCAGCAGUGGGGAAUAUUGGACAAUGGGCGAAAGCCUGAUCCAGCCAUGCCGCGUGAGUGAUGAAGCCCUAGGGUUGUAAAGCUCUUUUGUGCGGGAAGAUAAUGACGGUACCGCAAG
rnacentral:rRNA from 1 species